rnacentral:tRNA from 1 species
CAGAGUAUAGCUUAGAUAGUAAAGCAUCCCCCUUACACCGAGAAGCCGUUCAUGCAAACUGAACUACCCUGA